rnacentral:rRNA from 1 species
GACGAACCGUGCGAACGUUGUUCGGAAUCACUGGGCUUAAAGGGCGCGUAGGCGGGCUAUCAAGUCCGGGGUGAAAUCCUCCAGCUCAACUGGAGAACUGCCUCGGAUACUGAUGGUCUCGAGGAGGAUAGGGGCACACGGAACUGUGGGUGGAGCGGUGAAAUGCGUUGAUAUCCAUAGGAACUCCGGUGGCGAAAGCGGUGUGCUGGAGCCUUUCUGACGCUGAGGCGCGAAAGCCAGGGGAGCAAACGGG